rnacentral:lncRNA from 1 species
CUCUGAAUGUACUGAAAAUUUACAGAAAGAUGUAUUGCCAUGAAUAUAUGUGCAUUCACUGUUAAACCAUUUUGAAAUUGCUGCCGCUUAGUGGCAAUAGGGGGAAGGGUGACAUCCGCUAUUGCUUGCAAUGGCAAUUCUAGUUAUUAUGGCACCCUCAACGGAGUUGGGGUGACGUAUUGUUAUUCUACGUUUCUUUUUUUUCUUAUUUUUAUGUCACCCGAUCGACAAUGUCGGGUGACAUAUUGCUUUUCCUCUGUUUCUUUUUUUUAUUAUUAUUAUUCUUCCACCUAAUUUUGUCCGGCAGUUUUUUCGGAGCCAAUGGAACCAAUCUUAAUGAUAGUUGUC